AGUGAACGCUGGCGGUAGGCCUAACACAUGCAAGUCGAACGGCAGCACAGUAAGAGCUUGCUCUUACGGGUGGCGAGUGGCGGACGGGUGAGGAAUACAUCGGAAUCUACUUUUUCGUGGGGGAUAACGUAGGGAAACUUACGCUAAUACCGCAUACGACCUACGGGUGAAAGCAGGGGAUCUUCGGACCUUGCGCGAUUGAAUGAGCCGAUGUCGGAUUAGCUAGUUGGCGGGGUAAAGGCCCACCAAGGCGACGAUCCGUAGCUGGUCUGAGAGGAUGAUCAGCCACACUGGAACUGAGACACGGUCCAGACUCCUACGGGAGGCAGCAGUAGGGAAUAUUGGGCAAUGGGCGCAAGCCUGAUCCAGCCAUGCCGCGUGGGUGAAGAAGGCCUUCGGGUUGUAAAGCCCUCUUGUUGGGAAAGAAAAGCAGCAGGUUAAUACCCCGCUGUUCUGACGGUACCCAAAGAGUAAGCACCGGCUAACUUCGUG
rnacentral:rRNA from 1 species